rnacentral:tRNA from 1 species
AAACCUCAAAGAGAGUAACUUCUAAUUACCCCCAAGUUCAAUCGAACUAAGGUUUU